rnacentral:rRNA from 1 species
CAACCUGAGAGUUUGAUCCUGGCUCAGAGCGAACGCUGGCGGCAGGCCUAAUACAUGCAAGUCGAGCGCACCUUUCGGGGUGAGCGGCGGACGGGUGAGUAACGCGUGGGAAUAUGCCCUAUGGUGCGGAACAACUGAGGGAAACUUCAGCUAAUACCGCAUGUGCCCUACGGGGGAAAGAUUUAUCGCCAUAGGAGUAGCCCGCGUUGGAUUAGUUUGUUGGUGAGGUAAUGGCUCACCAAGACUUCGAUCCAUAGCUGGUCUGAGAGGAUGAUCAGCCACACUGGGACUGAGACACGGCCCAGACUCCUACGGGAGGCAGCAGUAGGGAAUCUUGCGCAAUGGGCGAAAGCCUGACGCAGCCAUGCCGCGUGAAUGAUGAAGGUCUUAGGAUUGUAAAAUUCUUUCACCGGGGA